UCUUGAUUUGAUUAAGAUAUUUAUUAGCAGACAUCAGACUGAAUGUCUUGACAUUGGAAUAUAAAAUAUCAUUGACACAGACACAAAAAUAAUUAUAACAAUAAUAAUAAAAAAUCAUAUUACAAACCAAUAAUAAAUAAAUAAGUUAAAAAAAACAUAUGGCCAUCUGGUUAGGGUCACUGUUGCCAACUUUAAAUAUAAGGAGCACAAACACAGCUUUCUCUCUUGAAACAUAACAUCUGAUUAUCAGUUCAUGAAGAUUACACACGGUCAUUGCAGGAUGAUUGCUGCAGAUCUUGCUUUCAAAUGUAAGGAGCUUCUUGAAACAGCUAGAUCAACCAUUGCUUAGACAGCAUUAGAUAUUCUAGAGUAACAGUGGGACAGGGUUGACACAAUAGCUACCAUAAAGGAAACACAAAAACAAUAGACAAACAACAAACAACUUUAGUGUUUGGAUGAGAAAGUACCAAAAAAAAAAAAAAAAAAC